UACGUAGGGGGCAAGCGUUGUCCGGAUUUAUUGGGCGUAAAGAGCUCGUAGGUGGUUCGGUAAGUCGGAUGUGAAAUCUCCAGGCUCAACCUGGAGGGGUCAUUCGAUACUGCCGUGACUAGAGGUCGGUAGGGGAGUGUGGAAUUCCUGGUGGAGCGGUGAAAUGCGCAGAUAUCAGGAGGAACACCCGUAGCGAAGGCGGCACUCUGGGCCGAUACUGACACUGAGGAGCGAAAGCGUGGGGAGCGAACAG
rnacentral:rRNA from 1 species